CGUAAAAGGUAUAGCAUUUA
rnacentral:snRNA from 1 species